rnacentral:rRNA from 1 species
ACUCCUACGGGAGGCAGCAGUGGGGAAUAUUGCACAAUGGGCGCAAGCCUGAUGCAGCCAUGCCGCGUGUAUGAAGAAGGCCUUCGGGUUGUAAAGUACUUUCAGCAGUGAGGAAGGGUGGGAGUCAGUUAAUAGCGGCCUUCAUUUGACGUUUAGCUGCAGAAGAAGCACCGGCUAACUCCGUGCCAGCAGCCGCGGUAAUACGGAGGGUGCGAGCGUUAAUCGGAAUUACUGGGCGUAAAGCGCAUGCAGGUGGUUUGUUAAGUCAGAUGUGAAAGCCCGGGGCUCAACCUCGGAAUAUGACAUUUGAACAUGGCAGACUAGAGUACU